GGGUGAACGCUGGCGGCGUGCCUAAUCCAUGCAAGUCGAGCGAACGGACGAGAAGCUUGCUUCUCUGAUGUUAGCGGCGGACGGGUGAGUAACACGUGGAUAACCUACCUAUAAGACUGGGAUAACUUCGGGAAACCGGAGCUAAUACCGGAUAAUAUUUUGAACCGCAUGGUUCAAAAGUGAAAGACGGUCUUGCUGUCACUUAUAGAUGGAUCCGCGCUGCAUUAGCUAGUUGGUAAGGUAACGGCUUACCAAGGCAACGAUGCAUAGCCGACCUGAGAGGGUGAUCGGCCACACUGGAACUGAGACACGGUCCAGACUCCUACGGGAGGCAGCAGUAGGGAAUCUUCCGCAAUGGGCGAAAGCCUGACGGAGCAACGCCGCGUGAGUGAUGAAGGUCUUCGGAUCGUAAAACUCUGUUAUUAGGGAAGAACAUAUGUGUAAGUAACUGUGCACAUCUUGACGGUACCUAAUCAGAAAGCCACGGCUAACUACGUG
rnacentral:rRNA from 1 species